rnacentral:lncRNA from 1 species
CUUGUAAUUAAUGCAUUCGACUCACCUCCAAACACAAACCCCAGGUGGCAGCGUUUAAUUAAAAUUUUCUCUCCUUCACAGCUAUGACGAUGAAUCUCUAGCAGGUAUGGGAGAUACAGGCGCAGGGCGGAACACAAUAGCCAGAACAUGAACAUCACCAAAACAGAUGAUUCUGGUGAUAGCCACUCUUCUCACAAGAGUCUUCUGGCAGCAUUCCCUCCCCAUUUUUGGUGCAAAUGCCACCAAUGAGAACCUGCCACUCUC